rnacentral:rRNA from 1 species
UCUGAUUAGCUAGUUGGUGAGGUAAGGCUCACCAAGGCUCCGAUCAGUAGCUGGUCUGAGAGGACGACCAGCCACACUGGGACUGAGACACGGCCCAGACUCCUACGGGAGGCAGCAGUGGGGAAUUUUGGACAAUGGGGGCAACCCUGAUCCAGCCAUGCCGCGUGAGUGAAGAAGGCCUUCGGGUUGUAAAGCUCUUUCAGCCGGAAAGAAAUCGUACAGACUAAUACUCUGUAUGGAUGACGGUACCGGAAGAAGAAGCACCGGCUAACUACGUGCCAGCAGCCGCGGUAAUACGUAGGGUGCGAGCGUUAAUCGGAAUUACUGGGCGUAAAGGGUGCGCAGGCGGUUUUGUAAGUCAGAUGUGAAAUCCCCGGGCUUAACCUGGGAACU